rnacentral:piRNA from 1 species
UAAGACUGUUUCGCGCUGAUUUCCUAGA